UCAGGCAAAACACUUUCUUUAAAAUGGAACAUCUCUUACCGCAAUGUUUACAAAUGUCUUUAAACAAUGUUUUGUUUCUAUUCAGUCAAGUGUUCCUAAACCAUUUAGAGUGUUAUCUUACGGGAACAAAGCCAUCGCUUUAAGUAUACCAACCACUCACCACAGUGACCAUACAUGGACACAUCUAUUUUUGUGAGAUAGCCCUACGCUUUCUACGCUUUCUUAUUCAGCAUAGAAAAAGCUCAGCCCAUCAGUAUCACAAACUAUGUAAACAAUGGGAUUUUUCCAUUAACCAGCUUACGAAAACAUUCAGCUGAAGUUCAGGCUUUGUUGGCGGACAGGCAGGGUACCUGGACCAUUUCAGAGUGCCUCCUGCGCUCAGCCCUCAGCGUCGUCAGGUGAGCCUCCUUCUCUGCCAGAGACUGCUGGGUAGACGACAUCUUAGCUUUCAUGGACUCCAGCUCCAGUUUCACCUUCUCCAUGGCUGCAAGCAGUUCCUCCAUCUUC